rnacentral:rRNA from 1 species
GUGAGGAAUAUUGGUCAAUGGACGAGAGUCUGAACCAGCCAAGUCGCGUGAAGGAAGAAGGUUCUAUGGAUUGUAAACUUCUUUUGUAAGGGAAUAAAAAAGAGUACGUGUACUCUAUUGUAUGUACUUUACGAAUAAGGAUCGGCUAACUCCGUGCCAGCAGCCGCGGUAAUACGGAGGAUCCGAGCGUUAUCCGGAUUUAUUGGGUUUAAAGGGUGCGUAGGCGGACUUAUAAGUCAGCGGUGAAAGUUUGCAGCUUAACUGUAAAAUUGCCGUUGAAACUGUUAGUCUUGAGUGUAAAUGAGGUAGGCGGAAUGUGUUGUGUAGCGGUGAAAUGCUUAGAUAUAACACAGAACACCAAUUGCGAAGGCAGCUUACUGGGAUACAACUGACGCUGAGGCACGAAAGCGUGGGGAUCAAACAGGAUUAGAAACCCCUGUAGUCC